rnacentral:rRNA from 1 species
UACGUAGGCAGCAAGCGUUGUUCGGAGUUACUGGGCGUAAAGCGUGCGCAGGCGGUUUUGUAAGCCAGAUGUGAAAUCCCCGGGCUUAACCUGGGAAUGGCAUUUGGGACUGCAAGGCUGGAGUGCGGCAGAGGAGACUGGAAUUCCUGGUGUAGCAGUGAAAUGCGUAGAUAUCAGGAGGAAUACCGAUGGCGAAGGCAGGUCUCUGGGCUGACACUGACGCUCAUGCACGAAAGCGUGGGGAGCAAACAGG